GGUGUAGUGCUGCUGGAUAGUAUCAAUGUCCAAACCUUUCAGCUUCACCACAGAUUCAACAUGUCCCUUGAGUGUGUGAAGCUCACGAAGCCUGUAAAAAGCAUAGAUGAAACGGAAUUAAUCUUUGUAUAGAUAGUAAUGAUGAUGAUUAUACAUAUAUUUGUAAUCUCAGAAGUGAAUGGCAGGCAUGGCUGCUUACCUUGCAACUUCAGCUCUUCUCUUCGCUUGCUCAGCAAUCUCGGACAGUUCUCUGUAACUGCUCUUCUCAUUGAAAAUACCAGAACUUUCUGGUGGUUGAAGUCCAUGUAGAGUCCUCUGAGCAUGUGCCCAUUGAGCUUCCCUCUCCUCUUUUCCAUAGUCUUUCUUGGUGGUGAAUGCAGUCUGUCACGUAUUAUAAAACAACCAAUUCAUGAAUAUCUUCAUUCACUAUUUUGAGAAACACAAAAAGAGUAGGUUAAUGAAUGAAUGAAUCAAUCAAUCAAUACCUUGUUGUCUAGGAGAUUGUUCCAAGCCUUGCCACUCAAUAUGUAGCGGAUGGCAAACUUCAUCACGUCGAGUGGAAUAUAGAAGACAAUGCUGUAGAGCCAGAUUACUCCUGCCCAACCCCAACCAAUUCCUUGUACCUUUGCGAAUCCCCAGUUGGCAU
rnacentral:lncRNA from 1 species